UGUAGUUUGUUGUCGGAAAGUUAAGUCCUCAGGCUUCAUUCAGUUCUAGAUUUCAGCAAAAAUAAAUAGUUCCCCGCUUUCAACUGGUGGAAGAGUUAUUUUCUAAGCUCAAAACUAUUGUUUAUGAACUACAAGCUGGGCAAUGACUUCUUCUGCUUCACGAGACCUCUUGAACUCGAAACAACCCUUUAAGGCUGAUCCGGUGCUUGCCUCUGGGCCGGCCGGAGAACUAACAGCACAUCUUCCUCGAAAGCCACCGGGCAAAUGCCCUGGCCUUUCUCCUCCCAAGGGUCACUGCCACCCCAAAACGGUUUUUCCCACGGCAACAGUGAAACAGUGUGGGCGAUCCCAAGAUGGAGGAUAUGUAUCUUUGAAAGUCAAACCUCAACAAUAAAAACAAACAAAAAACGUAGAGGAGACACGGCAUUGUCUUGUCUCCCCUUUCUUGCCCAUUCUAGACAGCUUUAUCAGCCUGUUUAUUGACAGCACCCAAAUAAAUCAGAUUUUUUU